GACGAACGCUGGCGGCGUGCUUAACACAUGCAAGUCGAACGGAAAGGCCCUGCUUUUGUGGGGUGCUCGAGUGGCGAACGGGUGAGUAACACGUGAGUAACCUGCCCUUGACUUUGGGAUAACUUCAGGAAACUGGGGCUAAUACCGGAUAGGAGCUCCUGCUGCAUGGUGGGGGUUGGAAAGUUUCGGCGGUUGGGGAUGGACUCGCGGCUUAUCAGCUUGUUGGGGGGGUAGUGGCUUACCAAGGCUUUGACGGGUAGCCGGCCUGAGAGGGUGACCUGCCACAUUGGGACUGAGAUACGGCCCAGACUCCUACGGGAGGCAGCAGUGGGGAAUAUUGCACAAUGGGCUGAAGCCUGAUGCAGCAACGCCGCGUGCGGGAUGACGGCCUUCGGGUUGUAAACCGCUUUCGCCUGUGACGAAGCGUGAGUGACGGUAAUGGGUAAAGAAGCACCGGCUAACUACGUG
rnacentral:rRNA from 1 species